AUUAAGGCGCUAUAAAAGAGCAAAUCUCUCCGCAAUUUUUAUUCAGGAAUAUGACUAACAUGGCUUCCUGUUCCUUUUUCCAUUCAUUGCUCCUCGUUUUGUGCAUUAUCAUUUCCAUCUUGGCCAUGCACUCAGUUCCAGGAGCUGCAGCUUCGAAAAUGAGGACUGUUUUUCGCGCAACCCUGCCAAGCCCACCUCCUCCUCCGUCUCUGAACAUCGCGCCUAUUCAAUCCAUAUCUCCUCUCGCGCAAGGACUCUGAUUCAACCUAUAAAACAACUCUAUUUUUGAGUUGUUAGAAUGAGUGUGAAGUCUGAAUAUACCUAAAAGUCGGCUAAAAGUUAUAGUCCCAAGGUCAAGUAAUAAAAGAUUUAUUUAUAAUUAUAUUGUACUCAAAACCUACGUAAACAUGUGAUUAUAUCUUUUAAAUCUUGUAACAUUAUAUUAAUAGUAAAACCCAGAAGUACCCUGGGCAUAUGUGUUGUGAACUGAA